rnacentral:rRNA from 1 species
AUUGAACGCUAGCGGGAUGCUUUACACAUGCAAGUCGAACGGAGCGGCGGACGGGUGAGUAAUGCCUAGGAAUCUGCCUGGUAGUGGGGGAUAACGUCCGGAAACGGGCGCUAAUACCGCAUACUAUCAGAUGAGCCUAGGUCGGAUUAUCUAGUUGGUGGGGGAAAGGCCUACCAAGGCGACGAUCCGUACCUGGUCUGCGAGGAUGAUCAGUCCCACUGGAACUGAGCCCCGGUCCAGACUCCUACGGGAGGCAGCAGUGGGGAAUAUUGUACAAUGGGCGAAAGCCUUAUCCAGCCAUGCCGCUUGUGUGAAGAAGGUCUUCGGAUUGUAAAGCACUUUUGGCAGAGAAGCGGUAUCUGAAGAAUAAGCACCGGCUAACUACGUGCCAGCAGCCGCGGUAAUAC